rnacentral:snRNA from 1 species
GUGCUUACUUUUGGGCAGCAUAUAAUAUACUAAAUUGGAAUGAUACAGAGGUUAGCAUGGCCCCUACACAAGGAUGACAUGCAAAUUUGUGAUGCAUUCCAUUAAAAA